AUUGAACGCUGGCGGCAUGCCUUAUACAUGCAAGUCGAACGGCAGCACGGGAGCAAUCCUGGUGGCGAGUGGCGAACGGGUGAGUAAUAUAUCGGAACGUGCCCAGUCGUGGGGAUAACGUAGCGAAAGCUACGCUAAUACCGCAUACGAUCUAUGGAUGAAAGCGGGGGAUCGCAAGACCUCGCGCGAUUGGAGCGGCCGAUAUCAGAUUAGGUAGUUGGUGAGGUAAAGGCUCACCAAGCCGACGAUCUGUAGCUGGUCUGAGAGGACGACCAGCCACACUGGGACUGAGACACGGCCCAGACUCCUACGGGAGGCAGCAGUGGGGAAUAUUGGACAAUGGGCGCAAGCCUGAUCCAGCAAUGCCGCGUGCAGGAUGAAGGCCU
rnacentral:rRNA from 1 species